CCUACGGGAGGCAGCAGUGAGGAAUAUUGGUCAAUGGCCGGAAGGCUGAACCAGCCAUGCCGCGUGAAGGUCAGUGCCCUAUGGGCGUUAAACUUCUUUUGUGCGGGAGCAAUAAUGGUCACGUGUGGCCAGACGAGAGUACCGUACGAAUAAGCAUCGGCUAACUCUGUGCCAGCAGCCGCGGUAAUACGGGGGAUGCAAGCGUUAUCCGGAUUUAUUGGGUUUAAAGGGUGCGUAGGCUGGGAGGUAAGUCAGCGGUGAAAUGCCCCCGCUCAACGGGGUGAAGUGCCAUUGAUACUGCCUGGCUGGAAUGCGGAUGCCGUGGGAGGAAUGUGUGGUGUAGCGGUGAAAUGCAUAGAUAUCACACAGAACACCGAUUGCGAAGGCAUCUCACGAAGCCGCGAUUGACGCUGAUGCACGAAAGCGUGGGUAUCAAACAGGAUUAGAUACCCCAGUAGUC
rnacentral:rRNA from 1 species